ACAGGAUGGUUUUUACGAAUAGGUGUAAACAUUAGAUUGAUCGUAAAGGGCCUUCUGUAAU
rnacentral:tRNA from 1 species